GUUUUGGAUUGUAGCUUUAUCCUGAGGAGUUCAUUUGGGUAUUUGAUAAUUAAAUACUGAGAAAGAAGUGAGACUACUAGCACACGAAAAGGAAAUCACGGAAAUGGUGCAUGUGUAGUCUCAUUGAUUUCUGAAGUGCUUUCACUUAGUGGGUGACAUUCCUGACAGUUUGAUUACUUGGAAUUUGAGGUGAAAGUGCCCAGGCAAAGAGAUCAAGUCAAGAUAGAGAAAAAUGAGGAGCACGUUAGAAUAAGAAAAUUGGACUUUUUGUGAAGAACACAAUUGCUUGUUCAUAUGUUGCUGAAAUGCAAAGAGACCUCCAGGAUGCACCAAAGAAAGGGACUAAGUAGAGAGCAGGAAGAUAGAUGAAGCUUAAAUUAUCAUCAGCAGCACUGUUUGUCAAGUAGGGUAUGCACGUCUGAGGGAGGCUGCGUGUGGCUGCUGCUGCUGACAGAGCCCAGGCAGCGUGCUCUGUGCGUGCACCCCUUCCGGAGGGACCCUGUGAAAGGGAAGUCCUCAGGCCUGGAGGAGGACAAGACUGAUGCUAGCCUCUUGGCACCGAAGUCCACCAGGACUGAAGCACAUUGACCUGCUGUGGCUGUGCAGAAAAGCUGAACUACUCAGACCCUCACUGCUCCAUGGGGCUGCUUGUGUGGUUCGUUCCAGGGGCUCACAAGAAGCAAAACCUCUCACCAGUCAUGGGAAAGGGACAUCAAUUUUGCAGUGAAUACACUUUCAGGCUUUAUAUCUUUUCACACCAGUGGACAGUCCAACAUGCCUUAAGUGAUUGUUCAGAACACUUUAUAAAAAGAAAAAUAAAUCAGCUGACUGAAAUUUUACUGAGAGGCAUAGAGAGAAGAAAACCAAACAAAGUUAGCCGUAUCAGAGGGAAGCAAGUUCAUUUUUCCCCACUAAAGAACUAUCUCCCAGCUCACACCUGGUGGAAAGAUUGUGAGUUUCAGCGCUGCAGAUGAAUGUUUCUGGCCCGGAAUGAUUUCACCUAUCUGAAAAGGGAGUUAAGUGUUUGUCAAUUUUGUCUAAACUGCCAGGUUUUCCUAGAAAUAGUGUUCCAGGUUUUCAUAAGCCUGGAGACAUUUUUGUCAUUUCAACCUCGUUUAGUUUAUUAUAUCCUGCCAGCCAUGUCUAGAUAAACUGUAAUGAAGGCUGCUGCCUCCAUUAUAAACCCACAUCUACUCUAUCAACAAGCUUUCAGUACCAUGACCAUUAUAAAAACUCUAAAAUUUGAUCUGCCAUUGAUGAUAGGCAAGUUUCAAUUUGUGGCUACUAGCCUGCACAAAAUGAUCUACAAAUGGCACGUUGCAGGCUGUUAUUUUGUAUCCUGCAGGAUGGUGUGAAAGUCCUCUCCCUUCCCUUCAAGGUGAAGGUCAUUUCACCAGAUCAGAAAUUGUUAUUGCUGUAACUGACAUGGGGAACUAUACCAGAAGCUUAAUUUAAAAUAAAAAUAGAGGCAGUAGAAUAAUGCUGCA
rnacentral:lncRNA from 1 species